rnacentral:rRNA from 2 species
CCCCGGUAAACGGCGGCCGUAACUAUAACGGUCCUAAGGUAGCGAAAUUCCUUGUCGGGUAAGUUCCGACCUGCACGAAUGGCGUAAUGAUGGCCAGGCUGUCUCCACCCGAGACUCAGUGAAAUUGAACUCGCUGUGAAGAUGCAGUGUACCCGCGGCAAGACGGAAAGACCCCGUGAACCUUUACUAUAGCUUGACACUGAACAUUGAGCCUUGAUGUGUAGGAUAGGUGGGAGGCUUUGAAGUGUGGACGCCAGUCUGCAUGGAGCCGACCUUGAAAUACCACCCUUUAAUGUUUGAUGUUCUAACGUGGACCCGUAAUCCGGGUUGCGGACAGUGUCUGGUGGGUAGUUUGACUGGGGCGGUCUCCUCCUAAAGAGUAACGGAGGAGCACGAAGGUUGGCUAAUCCUGGUCGGACAUCAGGAGGUUAGUGCAAUGGCAUAAGCCAGCUUGACUGCGAGCGUGACGGCGCGAGCAGGUGCGAAAGCAGGUCAUAGUGAUCCGGUGGUUCUGAAUGGAAGGGCCAUCGCUCAA